UGGCCGAAUUAUCCGAGGGACGAAAGGGUGGACAAGGCUGUCAGAAGCGCCGAACAACCUGGACCAGACUGGCAGACACGUGACGUCAGAGUAAUUGGAUCAUGCGAUAAUUACUUGGUGGAAAUAUAUGUCUUGCGACACAUCAGAUCUCCAGUCAGAAGAGGAGGCAAUUCCUAAAAAGAGGAAGCCAAUGCCGGUCAGGACAGCGAACACGCCAGGGGGACACGCCCACCUGGCGAGGGGCGUGGUGUGGUUCAGACACCAUUGCCUGCUGUGCUGUUCCAGUUCAAAUCCUAGGCAUGCUGGAGACAAUUACAGAGGUGAGAGACCUUUUCCGUUUCCGUGUACCACAAUGGAGGAA